UAUUGCAAGAUACAACAAGUGUGACGAGUCUUCAGAGACGGCUUUGGUAGAAUCAAUGGCAGAGGGACUGUUCUGAUUCUUUUUUUGAGGUGCAGGAUUGUGUACAGUAGCAGCUCUUGCCAUGAUGUUUUUAACUUGGAAUGAUAGGGAAAGCU